UACGUAGGGUGCAAGCGUUAAUCGGAAUUACUGGGCGUAAAGCGUACGCAGGCGGCUGUGUAAGACAGGUGUGAAAUCCCCGGGCCUAACCUGGGAACUGCAUUUGUGACUGCAUAGCUAGAGUCUGUCAGAGGGGGGUGGAAUUCCACGUGUAGCAGUGAAAUGCGUAGAGAUGCGGAGGAACACCGAUGGCGAAGGCAGCCCCCUGGGCCGACAUUGACGCUCAGGCACGAAAGCGUGGGGAGCAAACAGG
rnacentral:rRNA from 1 species